rnacentral:tRNA from 1 species
CAGAAGGUAGUUUAAUAAAAAUACUAGUUUUGGGGAUUAGUGAUAGAGGGUUGAACCUCUUCUUUUGA